UACAGAGACUGCAAGCGUUAUUCGGAUUCACUGGGCGUAAAGGGUGCGCAGGCGGCCAAGUGUGUGAGGCGUGAAAGCCCGGGGCUUAACCCCGGAAUUGCACCUCAAACUACUUGGCUAGAGCAUUGGAGAGGGUAGCAGAAUUCAUGGUGUAGCAGUGAAAUGCGUAGAUAUCAUGAGGAAUACCAGAGGCGAAGGCGGCUACCUGGACAAUUGCUGACGCUCAGGCACGAAAGCGUGGGGAGCAAACGGG
rnacentral:rRNA from 1 species